AAGUCGUAACAAGGUUUCCGUAGGUGAACCUGCGGAAGGAUCAUUACCGUUGGAGCUUGCUCCAUCUGGGAUAGACACCCUUGAUUUUGAGUACCCUUUCGUUUCCUCGGUGGGCUCGCCCGCCGGUGGACAACCAUAAACUCUUUGUAAUAGCAGUAUCUUCUGAGAAAAACAAAUAGUCAAAACUUUCAACAACGGAUCUCUUGGUUCUG
rnacentral:misc_RNA from 1 species